rnacentral:rRNA from 1 species
GACGAACCGUGCAAACGUUAUUCGGAAUCAUUGGGCUUAAAGGGCGCGUAGGCGGCGGUGUAAGUUGGAAGUGAAAUCCCAUCGGCUCAACCGUGGAAUUGCUCCCAGUACUGCAUCGCUCGAGGGGGAUAGGGGUCCGCGGAACUACCGGUGGAGCGGUGAAAUGUGUUGAUAUCGGUGGGAACGCCAGUGGCGAAAGCGGCGGACUUGACCCUUCCUGACGCUGAGGCGCGAAAGCUAGGGGAGCAAACGGG